rnacentral:rRNA from 1 species
CCGGUCGGCGAUUCUUGCGGAGGCUAGGGAGUGGGAGAGGUAGACGGUACUCGGGAGGAAGUGGUAAAAUGCUUUGAUCUCUCGAUGACCACCUGUGGCGAAGGCGGUCUACCAGAGCACGUCCGACGGUGAGGGAUGAAAGCUGGGGGAGCAAACCGGAUUAGAUACCCGGGUAGUCCCAGCUGUAAACUAUGCAAACUCAGUGAUGCAUUGGCUUGUGGCCAAUGCAGUGUUGCAGGGAAGCCGUUAAGUUUGCCGCCUGGGAAGUACGUACGCAAGUAUGAAACUUAAAGGAAUUGGCGGGGGAGCACCGCAAGGGGUGAAGCCUGCGGUUCAAUUGGAGUCAACGCCAGAAAUCUUACCCGGAGAGACAGCAGAAUGAAGGUCAAGCUGAAGACUUUACCAGACAAGCUGAGAGGUGGUGCAUGGCCGCCG